ensembl:snoRNA Gm25406 predicted gene, 25406
CUUGCCCCUAGAGGUAUUGUGGGCGUGGCUGCUGUGUCACAUGUGUGUCAGGAGGUGGCAGAGAGGGGAGAGGCUGUGAGUGUUCUGACUUACAAACCUAACAUU